rnacentral:rRNA from 1 species
UACGUAGGGUGCAGGCGUUAAUCGGAAUUACUGGGCGUAAAGCGUGCGCAGGCGGUCUUUUAAGUCAGAUGUGAAAUCCCCGGGCUUAACCUGGGAACUGCGUUUGAAACUGGAAGGCUUGAGUGCGGCAGAGGGGGGUGGAAUUCCACGUGUAGCAGUGAAAUGCGUAGAGAUGUGGAGGAACACCGAUGGCGAAGGCAGCCCCCUGGGCUGAGAUUGACGCUCAGGCACGAAAGCGUGGGGAGCAAACAGG